GUUGGCUGGUGGACUGUACUUUCACUAAUUUGAGCUGGGGGUCAGCUGGACUUCAGACUUUCAAGUCUACUCCAGGUGUCUUCAUUCCAGGAUCUGAGCUAAAGAAUUAACAACUUCCUAAUGCCAAAAAAGGGAGUUUCAACAAGACAAGAGUUUAGGAAGAGUAUGUUGAUGGAAAGAAGAUAGCAACCAUAGGACUCAGUUGUAGACAUCCAGAAGAUGGUGCAAAACAGUAGCUGCAUUUCAGCAGAAGCCCAAUGGAUGUGGACAACAAUGGCUUAACAGAGAGUUUCACUCUUGUUGCCCACGCUGGAGUGCAAUGGCUCCAUCUCGGCCCACUGCAACCUCUGCCUCGCAGGUUCAAGUGAUUCUCCUGCCUCAGCCUCCCUAGUAGCUGGGACUACAGACACCCGCCACCACGUCCAGCUAUUUUUUUGUAUUUUUAGUAGAGACUGGGUUUCACCAUGUUGGCCAGGCUGGUCUCAAACUCCUGACCUCAGAGGAUCCACACA